AAUAAUCCUGUAGUCGAAAAUGUUGUCUCUCUUGAGUGGAUCCUGAGUACGACGGAGCACGUGAAAUUCCGUCGGAAUCUGGGAGGACCAUCUCCUAAGGCUAAAUACUCUCUAGUGACCGAUAGUGAACCAGUACCGUGAGGGAAAGGUGAAAAGCACCCCGGAAGGGGAGUGAAAUAGAACCUGAAACCGUGUGCUUACAAGUAGUCAGAGCCCGUUAAUGGGUGAUGGCGUGCCUUUUGUAGAAUGAACCGGCGAGUUACGAUUUGAUGCAAGGUUAAGCAGUAAAUGUGGAGCCGUAGCGAAAGCGAGUCUGAAUAGGGCGUUUAGUAUUUGGUCGUAGACCCGAAACCAGGUGAUCUACCCUUGGUCAGGUUGAAGUUCAGGUAACACUGAAUGGAGGACCGAACCGACUUACGUUGAAAAGUGAGCGGAUGAACUGAGGGUAGCGGAGAAAUUCCAAUCGAACCUGGAGAUAGCUGGUUCUCUCCGAAAUAGCUUUAGGGCUAGCCUCAAGUGAUGAUUAUUGGAGGUAGAGCACUGUUUGGACGAGGGGCCCCUCUCGGGUUACCGAAUUCAGACAAACUCCGAAUGCCAAUUAAUUUAACUUGGGAGUCAGAACAUGGGUGAUAAGGUCC
rnacentral:rRNA from 1 species